ACGCACGCUGGCGGCGUGCCUCAUCCCUGCCAGUAGAACGCUGAAGAGAGGAGCUUGCUCUUCUUGGAUGAGUUGCGAACGGGUGAGUAACGCGUAGGUAACCUGCCUUGUAGCGGGGGAUAACUAUUGGAAACGAUAGCUAAUACCGCAUAACAAUGGAUGACCCAUGUCAUUUAUUUGAAAGGGGCAAAUGCUCCACUACAAGAUGGACCUGCGUUGUAUUAGCUAGUAGGUGAGGUAACGGCUCACCUAGGCGACGAUACAUAGCCGACCUGAGAGGGUGAUCGGCCACACUGGGACUGAGACACGGCCCAGACUCCUACGGGAGGCAGCAGUAGGGAAUCUUCGGCAAUGGGGGCAACCCUGACCGAGCAACGCCGCGUGAGUGAAGAAGGUUUUCGGAUCGUAAAGCUCUGUUGUAAGUCAAGAACGAGUGUGAGAGUGGAAAGUUCACACUGUGACGGUAGCUUACCAGAAAGGGACGGCUAACUACGUG
rnacentral:rRNA from 1 species